rnacentral:rRNA from 1 species
GAUGAACGCUGGCGGCGUGCCUAAUACAUGCAAGUCGAGCGAACAGACGAGGAGCUUGCUCCUCUGACGUUAGCGGCGGACGGGUGAGUAACACGUGGAUAACCUACCUAUAAGACUGGGAUAACUUCGGGAAACCGGAGCUAAUACCGGAUAAUAUAUUGAACCUCAUGGUUCAAUAGUGAAAGACGGUUUUGCUGUCACUUAUAGAUGGAUCCGCGCCGCAUUAGCUAGUUGGUAAGGUAACGGCUUACCAAGGCAACGAUGCGUAGCCGACCUGAGAGGGUGAUCGACCACACUGGAACUGAGACACGGUCCAGACUCCUACGGGAGGCAGCAGUAGGGAAUCUUCCGCAAUGGGCGAAAGCCUGACGGAGCAACGCCGCGUGAGUGAUGAAGGUCUUCGGAUCGUAAAACUCUGUUAUUAGGGAAGAACAAAUGUGUAAGUAACUAUGCACGUCUUGACGGUACCUAAUCAGAAAGCCACGGCUAACUACGUG